CCUACGGGAGGCAGCAGUGAGGAAUAUUGGUCAAUGGGCGGAAGCCUGAACCAGCCAAGUAGCGUGCAGGAUGACGGCCCUACGGGUUGUAAACUGCUUUUAUACGGGAAUAACGCGCCUUACGUGUAGGCCUUUGCAUGUACCGUAUGAAUAAGCAUCGGCUAAUUCCGUGCCAGCAGCCGCGGUAAUACGGAGGGUGCGGGCGUUAUCCGGAUUUAUUGGGUUUAAAGGGUGCGUAGGCCGCAUGUCAAGCGUGCUGUGAAAUGUCCGGGCUCAACCCGGGCCUUGCAGCGCAAACUGGCAUGCUUGAGUCCGCGGAAAGCAGGCGGAAUUCGUCGUGUAGCGGUGAAAUGCAUAGAUAUGACGAAGAACCCCGAUUGCGAAGGCAGCUUGCUGCAGCGGAACUGACGCUGAUGCACGAAAGCGCGGGUAUCGAACAGGAUUAGAUACCCUUGUAGUC
rnacentral:rRNA from 1 species